rnacentral:rRNA from 1 species
AUACGGAGGAUCCGAGCGUUAUCCGGAUUUAUUGGGUUUAAAGGGAGCGUAGGUGGACUGGUAAGUCAGUUGUGAAAGUUUGCGGCUCAACCGUAAAAUUGCAGUUGAUACUGUCAGUCUUGAGUACAGUAGAGGUGGGCGGAAUUCGUGGUGUAGCGGUGAAAUGCUUAGAUAUCACGAAGAACUCCGAUUGCGAAGGCAGCUCACUGGACUGCAACUGACACUGAUGCUCGAAAGUGUGGGUAUCAAACAGGAUUAGAUACCCUGGUAGUCCACACAGUAAACGAUGAAUACUCGCUGUUUGCGAUAUACAGUAAGCGGCCAAGCGAAAGCAUUAAGUAUUCCACCUGGGGAGUACGCCGGCAACGGUGAA